rnacentral:rRNA from 1 species
AUUGAACGCUGGCGGCAGGCCUAACACAUGCAAGUCGAGCGGAGGAAGGGAGCUUGCUCCUGGAUUCAGCGGCGGACGGGUGAGUAAUGCCUAGGAAUCUGCCUGGUAGUGGGGGAUAACGUCCGGAAACGGGCGCUAAUACCGCAUACGUCCUGAGGGAGAAAGUGGGGGAUCUUCGGACCUCACGCUAUCAGAUGAGCCGAGGUCGGAUUAGCUAGUUGGUGGGGUAAAGGCCUACCAAGGCGACGAUCCGUAACUGGUCUGAGAGGAUGAUCAGUCACACUGGAACUGAGACACGGUCCAGACUCCUAGGGGAGGCAGCAGUGGGGAAUAUUGGACAAUGGGCGAAAGCCUGAUCCAGCCAUGCCGCGUGUGUGAAGAAGGUCUUCGGAUUGUAAAGCACUUUAAGUUGGGAGGAAGGGCAGUAAGUUAAUACCUUGCUGUUUUGACGUUACCAACAGAAUAAGCACCGGCUAACUUCGUG